UGCUCUUGUGGCGAAAUUGGUAAACGCACUGGUUUUAGGAACCAGCGUCAAACGACUUGUGGGUUCAAGUCCCACCGAGAGCAA
rnacentral:tRNA from 1 species